UACCGAACGACGCCGCGUGACUGAUUAAGGCCUUCGGGUUGUAAAGCUCUGUCGUAAGGGAAGAACAUUCAGGAUAGGAAAUGAUCUUGAACUGACGGUACCUUACCAGAAAGCCACGGCUAACUACGUGCCAGCAGCCGCGGUAAUACGUAGGUGGCAAGCGUUAUCCGGAAUUAUUGGGCGUAAAGGGUGCGUAGGCGGUUUAUUAAGUCUAUGGUGAAAGUGCGGGGCUCAACCCCGUAUGGCCAUAGAAACUGGUAGACUUGAGUGCAGGAGAGGGCAAUGGAAUUCCAUGUGUAGCGGUAAAAUGCGUAGAUAUAUGGAGGAACACCAGUGGCGAAGGCGGUUGCCUGGCCUGUAACUGACGCUGAAGCACGAAAGCGUGGGGAGCAAAUAGGAUUAGAUACCCUAGUAGUCCACGCCGUAAACGAUGAAUACUAAGUGUUGGAGAAAUUCAGUGCUGCAGUUAACGCAAUAAGUAUUCCGCCUGGGGAGUAUGCACGCAAGUGUGAAACUCAAA
rnacentral:rRNA from 1 species